UCUCCUCUUCAGGAGGGGGAGGGAGAAGAUCAUUUCCGGCGGUGACGACCUCCUCCCGAGAACAUGCCUCUCCCAAAGGAUCUUCUCCAUCCCUCUCCUGAAGAGGAGAAGAGGAAACACAAGAAGAAGCGCCUGGUGCAGAGCCCCAACUCCUACUUCAUGGAUGUGAAAUGCCCAGGAUGCUAUAAA